rnacentral:rRNA from 1 species
UACGUAGGGCGCAAGCGUUAUCCGGAAUUAUUGGGCGUAAAGAGCUCGUAGGCGGUUUGUCGCGUCUGCUGUGAAAGACCGGGGCUCAACUCCGGAUCUGCGGUGGGUACGGGCAGACUAGAGUGAUGUAGGGGAGACUGGAAUUCCUGGUGUAGCGGUGAAAUGCGCAGAUAUCAGGAGGAACACCGAUGGCGAAGGCAGGUCUCUGGGCAUUAACUGACGCUGAGGAGCGAAAGCAUGGGGAGCGAACAGG